AUUGAACGCUGGCGGCAGGCUUAACACAUGCAAGUCGAACGAGUGGCGGACGGGCGAGUAAUGCUUGGGAAUCUAGCUUAUGGAGGGGGAUAACUACGGGAAACUGUAGCUAAUACCGCGUACCAUAGGAUGAGCCCAAGUGGGAUUAGGUAGUUGGUGAGGUAAAGGCUCACCAAGCCGACGAACCGGAGCUGGUCUGAGAGGAGGACCAGCAACACUGGGACUGAGACACGGCCCAGACUCCUACGGGAGGCAGCAGUGGGGAAUAUUGCGCAAUGGGGGAAACCUGACGCAGCCAUGCCGCGUGAAUGAAGAAGGCCUUCGGGUUGUAAAGUUCUUUCGGUAGCGAGGCGUUAACUACAGAAGAAGCACCGGCUAACUCCGUGCCAGCAGCCGCGGUAAUAC
rnacentral:rRNA from 1 species